rnacentral:rRNA from 1 species
AGUGGCGGACGGGUGAGUAACACGUGGGUAACCUACCCAUCAGAGGGGAUAACACUUGGAAACAGGUGCAAUACCGCAUAACAGUUUAUGCCGCAUGGCAUAAGAGUGAAAGGCGCUUUGGGUGUCGCUGAUGGAUGGACCCGCGGUGCAUUAGCUAGUUGGUGAGGUAACGCUCACCAAGGCCACGAUGCAUAGCCGACCUGAGAGGGUGAUCGGCCACACUGGGACUGAGACACGGCCCAGACUCCUACGGGAGGCAGCAGUAGGGAAUCUUCGGCAAUGGACGAAAGUCUGACCGAGCAACGCCGCGUGAGUGAAGAAGGUUUUCGGAUCGUAAAACUCUGUUGUUAGAGAAGAACAAGGACGUUAGUAACUGAACGUCCCCUGACGGUAUCUAACCAGAAAGCCACGGCUAACUACGUGCCAGCCCGCGGUAAUACGUAGGUGGCAAGGUUGUCCGGAUUUAUUGGGCGUAAAGCGAGCGCAGGCGGUUUCUUAAGUCUGAUGUGAAAGCCCCCGGCUCAACCGGGGAGGGUCAUUGGAAACUGGGAGACUUGAGUGCAGAAGAGGAGAGUGGAAAUGUGUAGCGGUGAAAUGCGUAGAUAUAUGGAGGAACACCAGUGGCGAAGGCGGCUCUCUGGUCUGUAACUGACGCUGAGGCUCGAAAGCGUGGGGAGCAAACAGGAUAGAUACCCUGGUAGUCCGCCGUAAACGAUGAGUCUAAGUGUUGGAGGGUUUCCGCCCCUUCAGUGCUGCAGCAAACGCAUUAAGCACUCCGCCUGGGGAGUACGACCGCAAGGUUGAAUCAAAGGAAUUGACGGGGGCCCGCACAAGCGGUGAGCAUGUGGUUUAUUCGAAGCAACGACGAAGAACCUUACAGUCUUGACAUCCUUGACCACUCUAGAGAUGAGCUUCCCUCGGGACAAGUGA